rnacentral:rRNA from 1 species
UUUCCGUGCCGGACCGUGUCCAAGUCUCCUGGAAAGGAGUAUCAAAGAGGGUGAUAAUCCCGUACUUAACACGACCACCGGUGCUCUGUGAUACGUCUUCUACGAGUCUAGUUGUUUGGGAAUGCAGCUCAAAAUGGGUGGUGAAUUCCAUCUAAAGCUAAAUAUUGGCGAGAGACCGAUAGCGAACAAGUACCGUGAGGGAAAGAUGAAAAGCACUUUGGAAAGAGAGUUAAACAGUACGUGAAAUUGUUGAAAGGGAAACGAUUGAAGUCAGUCGUGUUCUUUGGAUUCAGCCAGUUCUGCUGGUCUACUUCCUUGGAACGGGUCAAC